AGCCAGUACCGGUCUGUGGCUCAGAACCAGGAAUCCACAGGAGCUGUUACCAGAGGGACUGCAGCCAUAGAUGCUGGAGGUCACAUGGCACGGUCCCAUAACAUUCCCCAGCCAGGCCAGGAAGUCACCUUAUUGGAGUUACUAGGGUAUCUCAGUCACAUGCUGGGCAUCUCCUCUGGCAACCUUUGGUUUGCCUCAGGGGGCUACAUCAACACUGAGACACCUAGAAGGUUAUUAUCGCUGUCUAAUUUCAAACAGGCUCCACAAUGGAGGCCCGUCUUUGUGUGGGAUUAAUUUUCAAACCCCAGGAUUUGAUGUCGGUGGGAAAGCGGCAGCAUGGGACUCCCUCUACAGCCUUCUCCCCCUUCCGGCCAGCGCCAGGGGCUCCAUGGGAGAUGAAAACCCUGACAAGCCCUUCAGUCAAGCUGAAAGCAGGCAGCGGUCCAGUAACACCCACAAGCCCCCGGGGCAUCCCGUGACCCUUCCGAAAAGUCACGUUCACUUUGCUCUUGAGAAAGGAAAAAUAUCGCCGGAGGCAUUUUAUUUUAAACCAUGUGAAAUAAGGAAACGUGAAGAUGCGAGAAUGAAGUGGAAAAAAAAAAAAGUUCGAAUUCAUUUCCGUUCUUGCAACGGCUUAGAAACCAAACUGGUUCAUUUCGAAGGCGUGUGAAAAGAGAAUCCGAUCCAUUCACCAGCAGGCAGAGACCACGAAGUGCUUAAGAUUGUGGAAUCACAGGCGGGCACCACCAUGCCUCACUAAUCCACUGGGAAUUCUCUGAGUCUUGGUGUUGCCCCCUCAGCAAGAGGCUCCGGACCCCGGCAGAUGCUGCUUAAAGCACGUGCAUCCCUCGGGACGCACAGUUAUUUCGUCAAGUAUGAAGGAUUACUCUCCGGCUACCCAGGCCUACACAAGAGGCCCUUAUGGGCAGGUUGUAGCCCAUGAUAUUCAGGGUCGUGCAGCUGAGGAGCAGAAGGAAAGAUGGCGGCGUCAUAUACAUCCACUUGGUUUUCUCUAGGUUCCAGAUGUGAGUGUGCCCUCAGCUACUGUGCCAGCCACCAUGCCUGCAAGCUACUGCUCUGGCCACCAUGCCCACCUGCUACCACACUUUCCCACCGUGAUGGUAAUAGAUUGUUCCUCUGGAACUGUAUACAGGAAAUAAACCCGUCCUCUAUAA